rnacentral:lncRNA from 1 species
UGCUAUGAAGGCAUUUUUGAUAUGAGAUCAACAUUUACAUGCAGGCCCUAUCCUCAAGGCCUGCCUGCUGUCGGCAUGGAUGGACCACGCUCUUUGGCAAUAAGCACUGGUGACUUGUUUCAGUGAACAUGUCCACUUUAUUAAUGACCAUGCACACUUUUUAAAGGGCGGGCAGAAGAGGUGUAACUAAUUCAGGGCAACACUAAUUCUAUAGGAUAGAGCUGAUAUUGGCACUGCUAUGCUUCUUCAAUCAGCUUCAAGAUCACGUAGGUUACAGUAGCCUUCCUGAUGGGCCAGGGCCACACCCAGGAACAGUUUACCUGAUUGGCAGGGGUUGGGGAAAAUGUGCCUGGGGCUCCAGCCACCCACCAGCAGCCAGGCUGUGGGGUCCCUCCCAGGAGGCAUGAUGCACCAUGCCCUCUCAACCUCCCACAUGGGCGAGGCAGGCAGCCUCAUGGGAUCACCCACAUUUACACUAAUAGACUUUGAAUACAGCAGAUUAUCUUUCACAACAUAGGUGAACUUCAUCCAAUCAGUAGAAAGUUUAGAAAGAGACUGACCAUCCUUCUCUUCCCCCAACUAAGUCUCUGAGUUCCCAGCCUAAUAGCCUACCCUAAAAAUGUUGGACUUAAAAGAUGCCAUGAUUCUAUGAUCCAGUUCGUCAAAAUCAAUCUGUAUAUUUAAUACACAUUCCAUUAUUUCUGUUUCUCUAGAGAACCCUGAUACCUGGGAUAGCACCAUUAUGACAGUGAUGUAAAAUGGAGAAAUUGGGGACUCUAGUUUCACUGAAACAUCAUAUCAUCAUAAACUAUUCUGCCUUUGUUUUCUUGUUCCUUAGGACCUUGGCUGGCCUGAAAGUAAGUCCUUAUUCUUCCUGUACUUGUUGUCUCAAGCUUUCUAAUGCAUUUACACAGAAUAAACAAUUGUGCGAAAGUCUUUAUGAUUAACUCACCAGUAUCCAUUGCACCCAAGUCAUAGUACAUGACUCACACAUAUGUGUGAGAUUAAUGCCUAAUUGAGUAUCAGAUCCAGUGUUCACUAUUGUAGCAUUAUAAAAAUCACUUUAAAAAUAAUGUUUGUUCCUUCCUCCUAAUUUGAUUAUAUCUGCAUGACUAUUCUUCCAUUGACUGUUGCUACCUUGUAACACUGAGGAAGGCUAACUUAAAGAGACCAAUUUCACACAUUGAAUAUGAGACAGUGAAGGCUGAGAAGCAAUAUAUGGUUAUUUACCAGUAAUAAUAACUAAUCAAGAAAACCACUGUAUCCCUGAACCUCAUACUUCAAAAAAAUGUGUCAUUUAAACUAGAUUGACAUGAAAUAUGUUGAUUUUCCUUACCAAAGCAAUCUAAUAAAGAUAAUGCUAAUAAUUAAAAAGUAUGAGUG